rnacentral:sRNA from 1 species
UCCAUGCCAAAGCCACGGUGCUAUCCGUA